UACGUAGGGUGCAAGCGUUAAUCGGAAUUACUGGGCGUAAAGCGUGCGCAGGCGGUUGUUUAAGACAGAUGGGAAAUCCCCGGGCUCAACCUGGGAACUGCAUUUGUGACUGUAGAGCUGGAGUACGGCAGAGGGGGAUGGAAUUCCGCGUGUAGCAGUGAAAUGCGUAGAUAUGCGGAGGAACACCGAUGGCGAAGGCAAUCCCCUGGGCCUGUACUGACGCUCAUGCACGAAAGCGUGGGGAGCAAACAGG
rnacentral:rRNA from 1 species